ACGCUGGCGGCAGGCCUAACACAUGCAAGUCGAGCGGUAGCACAAGAGAGCUUGCUCUCUGGGUGACGAGCGGCGGACGGGUGAGUAAUGUCUGGGAAACUGCCUGAUGGAGGGGGAUAACUACUGGAAACGGUAGCUAAUACCGCAUGACGUCUUCGGACCAAAGUGGGGGACCUUCGGGCCUCACGCCAUCAGAUGUGCCCAGAUGGGAUUAGCUAGUAGGUGGGGUAAUGGCUCACCUAGGCGACGAUCUCUAGCUGGUCUGAGAGGAUGACCAGCCACACUGGAACUGAGACACGGUCCAGACUCCUACGGGAGGCAGCAGUGGGGAAUAUUGCACAAUGGGCGCAAGCCUGAUGCAGCCAUGCCGCGUGUAUGAAGAAGGCCUUCGGGUUGUAAAGUACUUUCAGCGAGGAGGAAGGCAUUAAGGUUAAUAACCUUGGUGAUUGACGUUACUCGCAGAAGAAGCACCGGCUAACUCCGUGCCAGCAGCCGCGGUAAUACGGAGGGUGCAAGCGUUAAUCGGAAUUACUGGGCGUAAAGCGCACGCAGGCGGUUGAUUAAGUCAGAUGUGAAAUCCCCGAGCUUAACUUGGGAACUGCAUUUGAAACUGGUCAGCUAGAGUCUUGUAGAGGGGGGUAGAAUUCCAGGUGUAGCGGUGAAAUGCGUAGAGAUCUGGAGGAAUACCGGUGGCGAAGGCGGCCCCCUGGACAAAGACUGACGCUCAGGUGCGAAAGCGUGGGGAGCAAACAGGAUUAGAUACCCUGGUAGUCCACGCUGUAAACGAUAUCGACUUGGAGGUUGUGCCCUUGAGGCGUGGCUUCCGGAGCUAACGCGUUAAGUCGACCGCCUGGGGAGUACGGCCGCAAGGUUAAAACUCAAAUGAAUUGACGGGGGCCCGCACAAGCGGUGGAGCAUGUGGUUUAAUUCGAUGCAACGCGAAGAACCUUACCUGGUCUUGACAUCCACAGAACUUUCCAGAGAUGGAUUGGUGCCUUCGGGAACUGUGAGACAGGUGCUGCAUGGCUGUCGUCAGCUCGUGUUGUGAAAUGUUGGGUUAAGUCCCGCAACGAGCGCAACCCUUAUCCUUUGUUGCCAGCGGUUCGGCCGGGAACUCAAAGGAGACUGCCAGUGAUAAACUGGAGGAAGGUGGGGAUGACGUCAAGUCAUCAUGGCCCUUACGACCAGGGCUACACACGUGCUACAAUGGCAUAUACAAAGAGAAGCGACCUCGCGAGAGCAAGCGGACCUCAUAAAGUAUGUCGUAGUCCGGAUUGGAGUCUGCAACUCGACUCCAUGAAGUCGGAAUCGCUAGUAAUCGUAGAUCAGAAUGCUACGGUGAAUACGUUCCCGGGCCUUGUACACACCGCCCGUCACACCAUGGGAGUGGGUUGCAAAAGAAGUAGGUAGCUUAACCUUCGGGAGGGCGCUUACCACUUUGUGAUUCAUGACUG
rnacentral:rRNA from 1 species